rnacentral:rRNA from 1 species
UACGUAGGGCGCGAGCGUUGUCCGGAUUUAUUGGGCGUAAAGAGCUCGUAGGCGGCUUGUCGCGUCGUCCGUGAAAACCCACAGCUCAACUGUGGGCUUGCGGUCGAUACGGGCAGGCUAGAGUUCGGUAGGGGAGACUGGAAUUCCUGGUGUAGCGGUGAAAUGCGCAGAUAUCAGGAGGAACACCGGUGGCGAAGGCGGGUCUCUGGGCCGAUACUGACGCUGAGGAGCGAAAGCGUGGGGAGCAAACAGG